rnacentral:rRNA from 1 species
AGAGUUUGAUUCUGGCUCAGGACGAACGCUGGCGGUGCGCCUAAUGCAUGCAAGUCUACUACUUGUGACUUCGGUCACGCUAUAGUGGUGGCAGACGGCUUAGUAACACGUAAGUAAUCUACCCUCAAGUGGGGGAUAAUCCGAAGAAAUUCGGCCCAAUACCCCAUAAUGUUUUAGUAUAUAUGUAUUGAAAAGAAAGAUUUAUCGCUUUUGGAGGAGCUUGCGGCCUAUCAGGUAGUUGGUAAGGGUAAUGGCCUACCAAGCCUAAGACGGGUAACCGAAGUGAGAGCUUGAUCGGUAAGAGGGGGACUGAGACACGGCCCCCACUCCUACGGGAGGCAGCAGCAGGGAAUCUUGCGCAAUGGACUGUAUGGUCUGACGCAGCGACACCGCGUGGGGGAAGAAGGCUUUCGGGUCGUAAACCCCUUUUCUCGGGGAAGAGUGAGGACGGUACCCGAGGAAUAAGCCUCGGCUAACUACGUGCCAGCAGCCGCGAUAAUACGUAGGAUGCGAGCGUUGUCCGGAAUUAUUGGGCGUAAAGGGCGUCUAGGUUGAUUGAUAAGUCCUGUGUGAAAUCUCUUGGCUCAACCAAGAAAUGUCACAGGAAACUAUUAAUCUAGAGGUCAUCAGAGGUAAGUGGAAUUCACGGAGUAGUGGUGAAAUGCGUAGAUACCGUGAGGAACACCAGAGGCGAAAGCGGCUUACUAGGAUGAACCUGACACUAAAGCGCGAAAGCGUGGGUAGCAAACCGGAUUAGAUACCCGGGUAGUCCACGCUGUAAACGAUGAAUACUAGGUUUUCGGGGUAUCGACCCCCUGUGAGCCGUAGCUAACGCGAUAAGUAUUCCGCCUGGGGACUACGGUCGCAAGACUAAAACUCAAAGGAAUUGACGGGGGCCCGCAC